CCUACGGGUGACAGCAGUGAGGAAUAUUGGUCAAUGGACGGAAGUCUGAACCAGCCAUGCCGCGUGCAGGAAGACGGCUCUAUGCGUUGUAAACUGCUUUUGUACAAGGGUAAACGCGAAUACGUGUAUUUAUCUGAAAGUACUGUACGAAUAAGGAUCGGCUAACUCCGUGCCAGCAGCCGCGGUAAUACGGAGGAGCCAAGCGUUAUCCGGAUUUAUUGGGUGUAAAGGGUGCGUAGGCGGAUUGGUAAGUAAGAGGUGAAAUGUCCGAGCUUAACUCCGGAACUGCCUGUGAUACUGUUGAGCUAGAGUGUAGGAGAGGUAAGCGGAAUGUAUGGUGUAGCGGUGAAAUGCGUAGAGAUCAGGCAGAACACCGGUUGCGAAGGCAGCUUAC
rnacentral:rRNA from 1 species